GAUAAACUAGCUGUCAGGGCACAUGGUGUUUUGGUGGCGCAGCUAACGCAUUAAGUUAUCCGCCUGGGGAGUACGGUCGCAAGAUUAAAACUCAAAGGAAUUGACGGGGGCCUGCACAAGCGGUGGAGCGUGUGGUUUAAUUCGAAGCAACGCGCAGAACCUUACCAACGUUUGACAUCCCUAUCGCGGAUCGUGGAGACACUUUCCUUCAAUUCGGCUGGAUAGGUGACAGGUGCUGCAUGGCUGUCGUCAGCUCGUGUCGUGAGAUGUUGGGUUAAGUCCCGCAACGAGCGCAACCCUCGCCUUUAGUUGCCAGCAUUUAGUUGGGUACUCUAAAGGAACCGCCGGUGAUAAGCCGGAGGAAGGUGGGGAUGACGUCAAGUCCUCAUGGCCCUUACGCGUUGGGCUACACACGUGCUACAAUGGCGACUACAGUGGGCAGCCACCUCGCGAGAGGGAGCUAAUCUCCAAAAGUCGUCUCAGUUCGGAUCGUUCUCUGCAACUCGAGAGCGUGAAGGCGGAAUCGCUAGUAAUCGCGGAUCAGCAUGCCGCGGUGAAUACGUUCCCAGGCCUUGUACACACCCCCCGUCCACCAUGGGAGUUGGAUUCACUCGAAGGCGUGAGCUAACCGUAAGGAGGAGGCGACACGGUACAGCUCAGGGUUAA
rnacentral:rRNA from 1 species